UCCUAAAACAUCACCUCAGCUCACGAUCGUGUUUACAUUCAGCUUGUAGGUGCAACGCGUGAAAUUGUCCCAUCUCUUCGGUCUAAACCGACUGAAACUCAUCAUGGAUGUUGUUUUGUAAAUCCUUGGCUUAUGCGGGCUGUUUGCUCAAACAAGAAACUAAUUGCUGUGUACCACCGUUAAGAGCGCUGCCAACAGCCGCAGACUCUCUCCCUGAAAUCAAAUCCCCCAAAACCCCCGUGGGGACGUCUGUGGCAAUGAAUAUAUUUAUCCAUGUGUGCGCUAGUCUGAUUCAAACACGGAUUAUCUCAAAACUAACAAAUCUCUGCCUCUCAGGCCACAUUCGUCACUUCGUCUGUGAGUGAGUGAGAAAUGUUUGAACGAGGAAGGCGGAUCAGUCCUGUGACACCACAUGACACAAAACCUUUGAACUUAGGUCAAUCCCAUCAGCAGAUUGCGAAACUAUUCGGUGUUUUCGCUUUGAUGUGAAAGCGGCUAAAACAUGGUGGGUGGACAGUCACCUGACUAAUUUAUGACAACAAGUGGUGGUGCUGAGUCGACUUGGGUGACCUCACUUGCUUUAUUAUUAAGUAUUAGUGGGACACUCAAAUAUAGCAAUGCCAGUGUUGCGUUUUCAGGCGCAGAUACAGUUUCAGACUUCAGUAAUGCUUAAACAAGUCUGUGCAUAGUGUCAGAGUUUAAACAUGGUGUCACUGCAGAAGUAUGGAUCCAUGUUUACACACUGUUGCAAAAACAUUAAAAUUCAGCAGUUCUGUUUUCACUAAACAUGCGAGAAGAGCUGAAUUUAUGAGAGAUUGUUUCUGCAUAUUGUUUUUUACUUAUUAAGGUCUUUGGUUUCAAAGACAGUUUUGGCCUAUAGGAUUUUAGGAAAAAUAAAGAUGAUAUUUCCAGCCACUCCCUUGCCACAGUAGAUAACACCAUAUAAUCUGGUAGAGUUCUUAAACGGACGCCAACCCCAAAAGGGACUUGUAUCUAUGGCAAGAAUCAAACCAGCAACCACUACACCACUGGAGAUAAAACAAGUAUGCCCCAUUCUGGGUUGUUAUAAUUAUCUUCCUGGAGUUUAACGUCAUGAUCCGGGGUCUGCUUAGAUUGUGAUUCCUUUCACAUUUUCUGACGAAAGUUAUCUUUUUAUCAGUUAUCCCCCAAGUUUCACAUUUUCCUCUCCUGCUGCGUUCCCUGUGUCUCAUCAAGUUACCCUCGCUGCACUAGAGAGCCUCUGUUUAGUUAUUCCCCAUUUUAUUUAGUUUCUCGUGUGUUGUAUUUAAUUUUGCGUCUUUUGUCUCGUGUUCCUCAGUUAGGUUCAGCUGUGUUAACAGGUGCUUUCCAUACCUCUGAUUACCCCACAUGCAUAUUUAAUCCCCAUGUUUCUCUUAGUUCAUUGUUGUGCUGUACUGUUUGUCAGCUCGUUAGUGCCUCCCUCAUAUGUUCCUGUUUGGAUUGCUUUGUGCUGUUCUUUGUCAGCUAACUGGACUUCCUGUUUCAGUUAAAUGAAGAAAUUAACUAUGGAGUGUCUACCUGUUUCACCUAUCCUGGAUACCUGGAUACGGCAACUAAACCCCCCCCCCCCAUCCUGCUGCAUUGAUCAAUUAAACACUUAAGACUUUCUUAAUAUCUUAACAA